ensembl:snRNA U2 U2 spliceosomal RNA
AUCGCUUCUCGGCCUUUUGGCUAAGAUCAAGUGUAGACUCUUGAAAAGCAGCAAAUGGUUAUUAUUUAAUGCUACUAAGUUUUGAGGUUGUUCUACAACAUCAUUGUAGAAAUAGUUUAUAGCCCCUUCCCCUACCUCUUUUAACUAUUUUGUUC